GAUGAAGAACGCAGCGAAAUGCGAUAAGUAAUGUGAAUUGCAGAAUUCAGUGAAUCAUCGAAUCUUUGAACGCACAUUGCGCCCGCCAGUAUUCUGGCGGGCAUGCCUGUUCGAGCGUCAUUACAACCCUCAGACCCCCGGGCCUGGCGUUGGGGAUCGGCGGAAGCCCCCUGCGGGCACAACGCCGUCCCCCAAAUACAGUGGCGGUCCCGCCGCAGCUUCCAUUGCGUAGUAGCUAACACCUCGCAACUGGAGAGCGGCGCGGCCACGCCGUAAAACACCCAACUCUUCUGAAGUUGACCUCGAAUCAGGUAGGAAUACCCGCUGAACUUAAGCAUAUCAAUAAGCGGAGGA
rnacentral:misc_RNA from 1 species